UACCUGCGUGCAAAGCUUCUGCGUCGAG
rnacentral:sRNA from 1 species